rnacentral:rRNA from 1 species
CAGCAGCCGCGGGAAUACAGAGGGUGCAAGCGUUAAUCGGAUUUACUGGGCGUAAAGGGCGCGUAGGUGGUUAUUUAAGUGAGAUGUGAAAUCCCCGGGCUUAACCUGGGAACUGCAUCUUAUACUGGGUAACUGGAGUGCAGUAGAGGGUAGUGGAAUUUCCGGUGUAGCGGUGAAAUGCGUAGAUAUCGGAAGGAACACCAGUGGCGAAGGCGGCUACCUGGACUGAGACUGACACUGAGGCGCGAGAGCGUGGGGAACAAACAGGAUUAGAUACCCCAGUAGUCCCUGUCUCUUAUAC